UUGUUUUGAACAUUUUUUUCA
rnacentral:piRNA from 1 species